rnacentral:rRNA from 1 species
AGCAGCCGCGGUAAUUCCAGCUCCAAUAGCGUAUAUUAAAGUUGUUGCAGUUAAAAAGCUCGUAGUUGAAUUUCGGGGUUAGUAGGUUGGUCAUGCCUCUGGUAUGUACUGGUCUCACUGAUUCCUCCUUCCUGAUGAACCUUAAUGCCAUUAAUUUGGUGUUUUGGGGAAUUUGGACUGUUACUUUGAAAAAAUUAGAGUGUUUAAAGCAAGCUAACGCUUGAAUACAUUAGCAUGGAAUAAUGAAAUAGGACGUUCGAUCCUAUUUUGUUGGUUUCUAGGACUGACGUAAUGAUUAAUAGGGAUAGUUGGGGGCAUUAGUAUUCAAUUGUCAGAGGUGAAAUUCUUGGAUUUAUUGAAGACUAACUACUGCGAAAGCAUUUGCCAAGGAUGUUUUCAUUAAUCAAGAACGAAAGUUAGGGGAUCGAAGACGAUCAGAUACCGUCGUAGUCUUAACCAUAAACUAUGCCGACUAGGGAUCGGAUGAUGUUAAUUUUUUUAGUGACUCAUUUCGGCGCCU